UGCUUAUUGCGGGGGCCCAUUUUGUGGAGGCAAACUGGGGAGUCCCUCUAAUUACCAGGUGGCUUUAUCCAAAAGGCUCUUCAUCACUGAACUGCAUGAUUGCUUCUUGGAUUUAAGGUAUAUCUAGUGGAGCCUUUUGGAGAUAAUACGCCUACAUUAGCAAACAUGUACAUUUGGGCAACUCAGGGAGAAGGUACAGAGAAGGAGGUUGUUUGACAGAGAAGAAGGUGCAUGUAGGCUAGUUUGAAAAAUGAAACAUUCACAUAGAUUUAGGUGGGAAAAGCAUGACAGCAUUGUGAAGAUAUGCAACCUUCUCUGCAAAUGCCAGCUGGUGGGUUCCCCAUCACGGAUUUGCCUUUUGUUGGCCAUGGUCCACUUUGCUUUGUUCAAAGGGAGUCAGCUGCAUUAAUUCUCAUCUUCAAUUUGACGAAGAUCUAGGGAUCCAUUUUCUUUGAGAAGAGGAAGGAGGAAGUAGAGGUGUGGCCAAGGAGGAAGUCGAGGUGCGGCCAUGUUGCUUGGCUCUUCUGAGGACUUGCCACUGGGGCUCCAUUUGCUUGUUUGUUGGCUCCACUGGUUGCGGAAAACAGCAUGGGGCACUCACAUUUCCUCCAGCCUGUCCAGCCUUCUGUUCCAGGAUUUCUAAUGUGUGGUCCAGGUGCCAGCAGAACACAGCAGCUCCUCUCCAAAACUAGAGGCCCAUAAAAGGCUCCCACUCCUUGCCCGGCUGAGACUCCACGCUGCCUGUGUCUAACAUUUUCAUCAACUCUGCAAUCAAUCAAGCUCCUAGAAACAAACAGUAAAUAUCAAUUUGAAGAAUAAUACAUAAUAAACACCAAAUACUCCCGGAUCAUCUCUCUCAACACAUCCUUCUCCAUCAAGGACCAAAGCAGAUCCAGAGAUAGAUCACAAGCUGAUAGAAUCUAAGGAUCCCCUGCAUUUUGAAAAACAAGAAGAUUCCUGGAAAUCAGCGGAUGCCAGAUGAGCUGCUCUAGGAACCUCAUGCACAGUGGACUUGCAGUGGAUGCUACCUGGACUUAUGUAUUCCUCACUAGUAAUGACUUUUACUUCUUUUACUCUUCUUCUUACUUCCUUUCUUAAGUUACUCACUUUUAACAGCCUCCAUUUUCAGCACAGCAUGAAGGCAAGACUGAGCCCCAACUGCAAACUUAAUUGAACAACCACACACAAGACAAAUAUACAUGAGCCACCAUUCUGUUGUUUCUUUGAAAUCCAGAGGCAGCCCAGCAAGGUCUUUUGGUCCAGAUUUUCUACUGAGAAGUUGGGCCGGUUUAGUGAACCUUGCUAUCUAUCUCUGAACCUUAAGAAACAUAAUUAAUAUGUUUUCAUUUUCAAUGACUGUAUUGUGUGUGUGUGAACUGGAACUGUUCCUGCUGUGUGUUUGAUUCCACUGACGAUGGGGUGGGUUGGAUUUUAAAUGAUGUGUGAGUACUUCUGUGCUUUCUCUGCUCUGGUUUAUGUGUUAUUCAUGACUUGCAUUACAGACAUGGCUGAUACACAGAUGUAAAUGUUAUUAAAUCUUUUGUAUUUUGGAGGCUUUGUGAAAGGUUUCUUUGUUUUCAAAUAAUUCUCUUAACCACCAAAAAUACCCAGGAAUACAUGACAAUGUCUUGGGAAUGCUUCUUUUUUCCUUUCUAUUGAGUUUUCUGAUGAAGAGAGUUCCCCUUGUACUGCUGGCUUUUCAUCAAAAUCAAAGUAUAGUGCAAGCUGAUAUAUAGAAGAGUGGUAUACUUACAGUAACAAUGCAGAGUUACUUCUUGGGUCACUAUGUGGGCAUAUCAUACCUGUGUAUGGCAUGUAACUAAGUCGCUCUGAGAAUGUGUUCUGGACGUCCUCUUGUAAACUGUUAUGAGUGUUGUGGGUGUGAACACGUUGACCUUAUUUUGCUAAAUUAGAACCAAAAAUCACCCAGUUCUUGAUUACCUGUCAAAGUUGUAGCUGCUUGACUGCGUUUGGUAUCUGACAUAAAUUUUAAUGUUUUCACUCUAUUCCAUCUUCUUAGAGUUUCUCAGGGUUUCAACAGAAAAUGUGGCAAAGGAUAAAGCUCUUCCUUCAGACAGCACUUAAUCACCCUGUGCCACUCACUGGCUUACUUUUCUUCUUUAUUGAUUUAAAAUUUCAACAGUGCUCUGAGGCCGAAUUGUUCACCUACACAAUUACAGCUGGCUAGAGUGGAGCGGGCCAGAAAGCACAAGGACACGCAGUUUAAUAGUGACAGUGGUGGUCUGACUUGGAAACACUGUGAAAGCAGUAGCUCAGCCUACCCUAAACAGAGGUGGUACCUGUGGGUCUUUAAGGCAUCCUCUUAGAGCACAGAAGGAUCCUGUCACUCAGAGGAGGGAGGCAGAGCCAAAUGACAAAAGUGCAGAAGAAAAGAUAUAUAAGACUUUUCUAUCUUUUUACAUCUGGAUUGCUCAUGCCCGAGGAACAUUCUAGAAGGCUAAUCUUUCUGCUGAGUAUCAGCCUUGCAGGUGUUCUGUGCUCGUUGAUAAUGGUUUCAUUACUCCUUUCUCUCUAUGCCCCUCUUUUGUCUUCUAUGGUUAGUCCUGAAUUCCUUGUAGAUUCUAUAACAUGCUUGGUCCUCAACAUGGCUUCUAGCCUACCUUGGAGUUUUGACUUUGGAACUGAAGCAGCUUUGCUCUUUUUCACUUUCUGACCUGUCUCAACUUUCCCAAGGAGCAGCUAGUUGUAUGGCAUAUGCCAGCAUACUUU